CGAGGCGAUGUGCCGCGCGCACGCGGGGGACCUUCGUCUCCGCUCUAGAGCAGUUUUGCUUUCUGAGCACCACAAACUGAUGGCAUAAAACGGCAGAAACUUAUUCAUUUGCAGCUCCGGGGUCCAGCAGUCCAAAAUCAAGAUGCGGCAAGGUUGGUUCUUUUGGAGGCUCUGAGGGAGGAUCUGUUCCAUGCCCCUGUCAUACCUUCUGGUGGUUGCGGGUCAGACUCAAGCCUGCCCUUCCCAUGACAUGCUCCUUGACCAUAUCUGUCCUUGUCUUCUGCACCUUUAGCCUGUACUGCUUUGGCAGUUAGCAUAUGUUGCCUCAGAUUGUUGUUUAGAUGCUCAUUGACCUUCACAAGGCCCCUCGUGCGCAUCCUCCCCUCUGCCCACGUCCGAACAGAUGCCCCUUUUCCACUUCAGAAUGUAAUCUUCAUAAGGGCAAGAAUUUUCACCUGUUUUGUUCAACGCUGCAUCCCCAAUGCCUUGGACAGAGCUGCUGAGAGAAGCAGAAAAGGUUGGUUUUCUGGUUUUCUAUAUUUGCUGCCUAAACAGUAUUCAUUGAUAUCCACUCCCUUUCUGUUUUUUAACUUUUUAUUAUGGAACAUUUUUAAAUAUAUGCAAAAUAGAGAAUACAUAGAUGCAUCUCCUCAUACCCAUUACCCAGCUUCACCAUCGUCAUGGCCAAUUCAGUUUCAUGUACACCUGUCUCCCAGUUCAUCACCAACAUCACCAGUGAAGGUUUUAACAGCGGUGCUUCUCCAGCAAGCCGAGGACUGUCAGGGCCUCACCCACCCCCCAGGGAUGGGGCUUUGUUUCCAGCUGGCAGGUGGAUGAUCCAGUGCUACAAUUCCAUUUUAGAGUUUAUUUCCUUGGAUUACUCCUGGCACCAACUCUCUGAGGUUAGGUUCUCUGGGAAACAGACAUGGAGAUGAAGAUUUGUGUGAAACAAGUUUACUGAGGAGUGACUGUGGUGUCUUUGCCUAGAGAGGAAUAACGGAAGUAACCCUGAGCAGCAGAAGUUGAACUGUUGCUGUGGCUGUAACAGGGCCUCCGGCGGUCCCACUGGAGCCUGAGCUAGGAUGAUGGCCUUUUCUUUUUUCUUUUUCUUUUUUUUCAUUUAACUAUUUGAAUUCAAAACAAGACCUAUUUGUUGGAAUGAAAG